ensembl:lncRNA
CAGAUUUACAAAAUAUAAUUAUAUUCCAAGUUAUACAUACAGGAUACAACAGCAAUGCAUUGUGAAUUUAGAAUGAACUAGUCAUGGUGGUAAGAUCGCUGACAAGUCUUUUAAAACCAGAAAUCAAGACACAUUGACCCAAUGGGCCCAAUCCUAAACGCCCCCUAGACCCUAUGCCAUAUGCACUUGUGGAGAUCGGAGAGGUUUUGUCAGGUGUAAGCAAUAUGGUAAUAGCUCUACCACUCAAUGAUAGGCUAGGUGGAAGUAAACCCAUAUUGCUUACAACCAAUUAGAUGAUCUUACAUCAUUACAUUACAUUAAGGUCUAGAUGUCAAUUUGGGAUUGGGCCCUUCUCCAAUGGUCCAAUGAUAGGAAGUCAGCUGUAUAUAGUUCUACAUUCAGCCGUUUUGUCUUUGGUAACCUCAGUCAUCUUGUCCCUAGAUCUGCCAACAUGGAGGGGUUGUCAAGGUGACGGUAUUACCACCAGACCAGAGGUCACUAGUCACGAAGACAGUCAAAUUCCACGUGACAGUUUAGACACGGUAAUUAGGCUUCUCUGAUGCUACUGAUGGUCAUUAGUAGCCUACCAAAUUAACUGCCUGGUACUCAGCACUGUAUCGUCCCUUUAAAUCACUCUGACAUCAAUGUAUUAAAACAUCUCAUCAAAACACUUCAUGAGAGCCCAUGAGCUCAUGUUGCUCAACAUUUCUAUAGGCUAUGUAACUGCGUGAGAAAACAGAGUGAUGGCUUCUAUUAAAAAGAGGAGUAACUGCGUGAGAAAACAGAGUGAUGGCCUCUAUUAAAAAGAGGAGGAUCUCAUCAGCUUUCUAUAGGCUAGGCCUAUUAUAUUUAUAAACUUUCCUAAUAUUAAGCACAUUGCUUCUCUUUACAACAGGAGUAUAGCCUACCUGGCUGGCAUGAAAAUGAACCACGGGGAAAAGCAUCCUCCAUUUUGCUAUUUAAGUGCAUAGUUGACAUUCUUUCCCCCCCAUACCCCCAUUUCGAUACAGGUGCAUGAUAAUGGUCCAUUCUAAAUCAAAACUAAUUUGACACACAUAUAAUUUAGUAUAUGUAAAGACAAGAUUAAAUUAAGAAUAGUGUGAUGGGUGACAAUAUUAGCCUAUCACUUGUGGAUUAUGUAUUAUCACAUGCGAAUGACGCCCAGCUUGUGCAGUAAGGCGAGGAAUAACUCAUGCGUUUUUUUGCGACUUCUUCAAAUCGUAGGUCGCACACCGUAUGUAGCCCAGCCCAUAGGCCUAUAUGUUUUGAUAAGGUUUUUUAUCACAACUAAAGUGGCCAAAUAACUCCUUAAAACGAAGCACAGGGAGCGCAGGUAGUCUAGUGGUUAGAGUGUAGGGGCGGCAGGUAGCCUAGUGGUUAGAGCGUAGGGGCGGCAGGUAGCCUAGUGGUUAGAGCGUCGGGGGGGCAGGUAGCCUAGUGGUUAGAGCGUAGGGGCAGCAGGUAGCCUAGUGGUUAAAGUGUAGGGGGCGGCAGGUAGCCUGGUGGUUAGAGUGUAGGGGCGGCAGGUAGCCUAGUGGUUAGAGCGUAGGGGCGGCAGGUAGUCUGGUGGUUAGAGCGUAGGGGCGGCAGGUAGCCUGGUGGUUAGAGCGUAGGGGCGGCAGGUAGCCUAGUGGUUAGAGUGUAGGGGCGGCAGGUAGCCUAGUGGUUAAAGUGUAGGGGCGGCAGGUAGCCUAGUGGUUAGAGCGUAGGGGCGGCAGGUAGCCUGGUGGUUAGAGCGUAGGGGCGGCAGGUAGCCUAGUGGUUAGAGUGUAGGGGCGGCAGGUAGCCUAGUGGUUAAAGCGUUGGGCCAGUAACCCGAAAGGUUGCAAAAUCAAAUCCCCUGAGCUGACAAGGUAAAAAUCUAUCAUUCUGUCCCUGAACAGGGCAGUUAACCCACUGUUCCAAGGUCGUCGUUCAAAAUAAGAAUUUGUUCUUAACUGACUUGCCUAGUUAAAUAAAGGAUAAUGAUAAUAAAUAUUAAACCGCUUUAUAACCGGUGCCUAACUGGCAGACAUAAGCUGUGUGAGUUUCACGUUUGGGGAAGAUCAUUUUCACCAUAAAUAUGCACUUUUUAUAAUAAACUAUUAAAUGCACCUUUUAAAAUAAACUAUUAAAUGCACCUUUUAAAAUAAACUAUUAAAUGCACCUUUUAAAAUAAACUAUUAAAUGCACCUUUUUAAAAUAAACUAUUAAAUGUGUGCGCAUUGAUACGCUUCUAAUGUGAAGAAAAAGACCAAUAGAAAAAGCCUUAAUAGUUUAUCAACAUUUUAAGCUAAACGUUCUGAUCUGUUGCAUCAGCCUCACUGCUUUAAAAAAAAUAAAGAAAUUGGAUGCGAGUUGCUGUAUUCAAUUGGGAUCUAUCGCAUCCCACAACUGUCCUACAGUAUAUUUAUUUAUUUAUUGCACUGAAGAACAGUUGACCAAUAGCAUAGGUCAACUUUUGCACUAUGGGGGGAUAGUACAUUGGGCAUAAGCUAG